AUGGCUGGUUCCUCCUCCACACCAGACCCAUGGCUCAACCCAUUCCCCACUGGCAAGGGCUGGGUUGCCAUGCUAUUUGGUUCGGCGCGCGGUGACCAGGAUCUAUUCCUGGACUACAUGAAGAUAGCUACGAGAUACAACAAUGUGGAUGGACUAGUAGAUGUUGCUGACCUAGUCCAGAAGAAGGCGACGCCUCAAGAGAAGAAGUGCAUGCAGCAGAGCUAUGGAACUAAAGGUAAGGGUAUCCUGCCCAUCGACACUCUACUAUGGGCAAUGAGAGAGGCAGACUCCUCCGAUGAUGUCCAGCAUAAGCGACGGGAAGCCCAUCGCUAUGUUGCUCCGGCAAAAGCUGCAACUGAUGUAGCAGUGCAGGAAGAGGAUGACGACGACUUGCAGAUAGUUGCGCCACCUGCAGAGCAGGCUCACCGCCGUCCCCUCCCAUCAUCGUCAUCGAUGAAGAUGAUGAAGAGGAGGAAGUGA
rnacentral:rRNA from 1 species